CCGCCUCCUCCAGCCCCGCCCCGGCCGCGGCCCCGCCCCCGCGCUCGCACCGGGCCAAGCCCCCCCCCUCACGGCCCCGAGCUUCGCUGCACUCCCGACGCUUCACGUUGAAGCAACUAUAAGGCAGUGCAGCGCGGCCCCGCCCACGCGGCAGGUUCCCAGCCGCUGCGGCCUGGCGGCCUCCCUACACACCAGCCCAGGAAGAGGCGGUGCUAAAGGGCCGCCAGUUUCCGCCCAUCCAGAAAGGCUUGCUGAUUGACAGGCGAUCUGAACAAUAACGGCAAGUGCUUGGUCGAGGCUCCCGUGGGUCUCUGUGCCCCUGUGCUAAACAACCAGUCAAGAUCUUCUUCCUUUUGGGCGGGCUCGAGGAAUGAAUUUGCUGCCAAAAGAAAGAGUUCAUUGGACCGCACUGGAGGAAGCCGCCCUAAACGCCACUUCUGGAGGUGUUUUGGUCCUGUGUGGUCUUUGUGGGUACUUUCUGGGUUUUGCCCACACUACAGAUGGAGAGAGCGGUUGUGUUAGCCAAUAGGCUCACACCCUGUCUGGAGGCUGAAAGGCCCAUUGGGCAGAAAGUCUUGAUUGACGUGAGUGCAAGCCAAUCAACACUCCCGAGGAAGGGCUCCGGAAAGUUCCCUCAACUGCUAAUUCCCCAGGAUGCACAGGACCUCAGCAUGGCUGAAGGCAUGUGCUGACCAGAAAGGGGCUGACAGCUGGGGACUGUGUGCUGACCACACUCCCUGCCUUGGAACAAAAAGCAUGGACAAAUGAAAUACUCAAAAUAAGUUGCCUUACCUAAAGUGCUAACCACAAAAGUAAAUACAGGGACUUCCCUAGUGGUCCAGUGGUUAAGAAUCCGCCUUCCAAUGCAGGGGACUCAGGUUCAAUCCCUGGUCGGGGAACUAACAGCCCACAUGCCAUGAGGCAACUAAGCCCACAUGCUGUAAUUACUGAGCCCAUGCGCUCUGGAGCCCAUGCGCUGCAACGAAGAUCCCAUGUGCCGCAACUAAGAUCCCGUGUGCCGCAACUAAGACCCUCUGCAGCCAAAUUAAUUAAUUAAUUAAUUAAUUAAUUAAAAAGAAAAAGUAGGGGUUUCCCUGGUGGUGCAGUGGUUAAGAAUCCGCCUACCAAUGCAGGGGACACGGAUUCGAGCCCUGGUCCAGGAAGAUCCCACAUGCCGUGGAGCAACUGAGCCCGUGCGCCACAACUACUGAGCCUGUGCUCUAGAGCCCGUGAGCCACAACUGCUGGGCCCUUGCCACAACUACUGAAGC